AAGCGGUGGAGGUAUGUGGUUUAAUUUCGAUGCAACGCGAAGAACCUUACCUGGUCUUGACAUCCCGGAGACCCUUAGGAAACUAGGGGUGCUUCCAUCUGGAAGAAUCUGGAGACAGGUGCUGCAUGGCUGUCGUCAGCUCGUGUCGUGAGAUGUUGGGUUAAGUCCCGCAACGAGCGCAACCCUUGCCUUUAGUUGCCAGCAGUUCGGCUGGGCACUCUAAAGGGACUGCCGGUGUUAAACCGGAGGAAGGUGGGGAUGACGUCAAGUCCUCAUGGCCUUUAUGACCAGGGCUACACACGUACUACAAUGGCCGAUACAAAGGGCAGCGACACUGCGAGGUGAAGCCAAUCCCGUAAAAUCGGUCUCAGUCCGGAUUGGAGUCUGCAACUCGACUCCAUGAAGUUGGAAUCGCUAGUAAUCGUGGAUCAGCAUGCCACGGUGAAUACGUUCCCGGGCCUU
rnacentral:rRNA from 1 species